rnacentral:lncRNA from 1 species
GGCAAUAGCAAGCAGUUUCAGUGGAUGAAUACAUAGCUCAAAAGGGGCAUGUAGGAUGCGAUUGAUGUCUAAUUUUAAUGCCUAUCUGGGCCUAAUAAUUUGAAAAGGCUCACAUCCCUCAGAUAAAAGUUAUUUUCUUUCUUCAACAGCUGUGGGCACUGUUGGAGAAGUAUAAUGGAAAACAAAAUCUCCCAACCCAGAAAUCCUCUCUACAAAGGUAGCAAAGAAAGAAAACACUCUCAUUAUUGAGAAAAACAUUAAACCAGAAAGUGUUACACACCACAAGCAAUCUGCUAAGAGACAGCCAAGACAGAAAGGAAGCUCACCUGCUUAUGGAGCCAAGCAGACACAGCUCGUUCCACACACGUUUUCAAGACGGACAGUAACUGUUACCAACUGAGUCAGCUUUUCCCCUAAAGAUGGUAUCGUGAAGCCAAUACAUGAAACCCAAAGCGAGCCUCAAGCAGUGCGGACUUUAUUCAAUGGCCAAAGAAUGGAGAAGCAGGAGCAUGGCCGCAAGUCAACUUCUUGUCUAGUGAGAGCACCUGCCUGACUAAUACAUCAUGCUCUGCUGACUCCAUAUGUGGCUGGUUUCCUGGAUCCGAUUCUGACUGAUGGUAUCUGUUCUCACGCUGCUAAUAAAGACAU